GCUUUUCUUCCCUAGAAACCCAACUCUACGCAGAAAAAGUGAAAAGGAAAAAAAAAACACAAAAAAAACCAGAAAAAAAAGCUAUAAAAAGUUUUAAAAGAAGGCAGCAAAGGGUAGUUUCCAUCUGGUGUCUUUUAUUUAAGUUUUUUAAGUUAAGAAAAGCUGGUGACAUAUUUAUACGUUUUUGUGCAAAAAAUAAAUGAAUGGCAAUAGAUUUAAAGAAAUCUUAUUAUGUACUUCUGUGUGCAAAAGUCUGUAUAAUAUUUCCCCUAAAUAUGCAUUAUUUUACCUGUGAGUUUUUUACAGAAUUAAUCUGAAAUGUACAAGCCCUGGAUUUGCUACAGAGUGAGAAGUUAUUUUAUUUUAUUUUUUUUUUAUUUUUUAUUUUGAGAAAACUGCAGAAAUCAGAACUCCUACCAUGGUUUGAAAAGGGAGGCGGGAGGGGAGGCGGGAGGGCUGGUCCGGCAUGCCUGUAUGUAUCUCUCAAGAGCCUUUUUUUUAAAAUGUAAAAGCUGUACAUUUUUGGGAAGUUCUGAUUUUCUUUUUCUUUUUUUUUUUCUUUUUGUUUCCUUUUACCUUCAAGCAUUUUGCAGUGCGCUUCUUUUAUAUCUAGCAGACAAUUGGAAAGAAAUACAAAACCUAUGUGACGUUCAUUUAAGAACCACAGCCCAGUGCUGGUUCAAUACACUAAAGACUUUGAUAAAAGAGAAUCAAUGGCAAAGGUCUCCAUUUUAAAUGUCAUUCAUAUAUACCUUGUGGAUGAGAGCUAUAUACUUUUACACACUUUUUUAGAGGAAUAAAUUAUUGAAUUAC
rnacentral:lncRNA from 1 species